rfam:Pachysolen tannophilus NRRL Y-2460 unplaced genomic scaffold PACTA_scaffold_10, whole genome shotgun sequence.
GGGAUUAUAGUUUAAUGGUAAAACAACUACUUUGCAAGUAGUGAAUAUUGGUUCAAUUCCGAUUAAUUCCA